UACGUAGGGACCAAGCGUUGUUCGGAUUUACUGGGCGUAAAGGGCGCGUAGGCGGCAAUUCAAGUCAUCUGUGAAAUCUCCGGGCUUAACUCGGAACGGUCAGAUGAUACUGCUUUGCUAGAGUACAGAAGGGGCAAUCGGAAUUCUUGGUGUAGCGGUGAAAUGCGUAGAUAUCAAGAGGAACACCUGAGGUGAAGACGGGUUGCUGGGCUGAUGACUGACGCUGAGGCGCGAAAGCUAGGGUAGCAAACGGG
rnacentral:rRNA from 1 species